GAUUCCUCCUUCACGUCUCCUCCUCGUUUUCUCAUUCGACUGAAGAGUGGAGAACGUUUUGUCAUUCGAUUGAAGAGGGGAGCCGCUGGACGGACAUGCGGUGACAGUGAGAGGGGUCAGUCGACGGGAAUCGCUGGCGGCUGACGGGAGUCGAGCAUCAAGGGGAUUUGGUGGGAGAUGUUCGGUUCUUCUGUUCCUAUGCUUGAAAGUAUAGCAAUCAAAAUUUUAAGUCAACCAUGCAGCGGAUCAGCCUGUGAAUGAAAUUGGAGUGCAUUUGAUGCUGCUAACAUGAAGAAAAGAAACAAUCUUGCACCAUCAAGAUUAACAAAUUUGGUCUUCGUUAGAAUGAAUAUGCAUUUGCAAAGCAAGGCUCUAGAAUUGAAGAAGACCAAUGCAAAUCCUAUCUACAUUGAACAUGUGAACCCAUUUGCUGAAGAAGAAAAUUUAAAUACUGAGACAACAAACUUGUCUUCAGAUUCAAAAGAAUAAAAUAUUGAUGGAAGUGGAAGACAAAGAGCUUCAAGGCGUACAAGAAAUGAAGAAGAUGACUCCACUUCUUGGGAUGAAGACUAAGACAUGUUUUCUUUUCACUUUCCAAGUGAAGAAUGACUUCAUUUGUGUUGUAAAGCCAUGAAGGCAAUAAACUUUUGUUAGUUAUGUAUUUGCCAGACUGUUAGUUUUCAUUAUCUAAUUUUAAUUUGUUGCUUAUCUAGUCAUUUUUCAAUGUUUUUUUAA